rnacentral:rRNA from 1 species
AACAAACGCUGGCGGCACGUUUUAAGCAUGCAAGUCGAAUGGCAGUGGGGGCAACCCCAUGAGAAUGGCGAACGGGUGAGUAACACGUAGGUGAUCUGCCUGACGGAUGGGGAUAGCUUGUGGAAACACAGGGUAAUACCGAAUGAGCUGACGAGACUUUGGUUUUGUUAGUAAAGGUGCUACGGCACCGCCGACAGAGGAGCCAGCGGCUGAUUAGCUAGUUGGUGGGGUAAAGGCCUACCAAGGCGACGAUCAGUAGCCGGCCUGAGAGGGUGUACGGCCACACUGGAACUGAGACACGGUCCAGACUCCUACGGGAGGCAGCAGCUAAGAAUCUUCCGCAAUGGGCGAAAGCCUGACGGAGCGAUGCCGCGUGAUCGAUGAAGGUCGAGAGAUUGUAAAGAUCUUUUCUACAUGAGGAAUAAGUCUGGGAGGGAAUGCCUGGAUGAUGACGUUAGUGUAGGAAUAAGCCCCGGCUAAUUACGUGCCAGCCGCCGCAGUAA